rnacentral:rRNA from 1 species
UGAUGCAGCGACGCCGCGUGAGGGAUGACGGCCUUCGGGUUGUAAACCUCUUUCAGCAGGGAAGAAGCGAAAGUGACGGUACCUGCAGAAGAAGCGCCGGCUAACUACGUGCCAGCAGCCGCGGUAAUACGUAGGGCGCAAGCGUUGUCCGGAAUUAUUGGGCGUAAAGAGCUCGUAGGCGGUCUGUCACGUCGGAUGUGAAAGCCCGGGGCUUAACCCCGGGUCUGCAUUCGAUACGGGCAGACUAGAGUGUGGUAGGGGAGAUCGGAAUUCCUGGUGUAGCGGUGAAAUGCGCAGAUAUCAGGAGGAACACCGGUGGCGAAGGCGGAUCUCUGGGCCAUUACUGACGCUGAGGAGCGAAAGCGUGGGGAGCGAACAGGAUUAGAUACCCUGGUAGUCCACGCCGUAAACGGUGGGAACUAGGUGUUGGCGACAUUCCACGUCGUCGGUGCCGCAGCUAACGCAUUAAGUUCCCCGCCUGGGGAGUACGGCCGCAAGGCUAAAACUCAAAGGAAUUGACGGGGGCCCGCACAAGCAGCGGAGCAUGUGGCUUAAUUCGACGCAACGCGAAGAACCUUACCAAGGCUUGACAUACACCGGAAACGGCCAGAGAUGGUCGCCCCCUUGUGGUCGGUGUACAGGUGGUGCAUGGCUGUCGUCAGCUCGUGUCGUGAGAUGUUGGGUUAAGUCCCGCAACGAGCGCAACCCUUGUUCUGUGUUGCCAGCAUGCCCUUCGGGGUGAUGGGGACUCACAGGAGACUGCCGGGGUCAACUCGGAGGAAGGUGGGGACGACGUCAAGUCAUCAUGCCCCUUAUGUCUUGGGCUGCACACGUGCUACAAUGGCCGGUACAAAGAGCUGCGAAACCGUGAGGUGGAGCGAAUCUCAAAAAGCCGGUCUCAGUUCGGAUUGGGGUCUGCAACUCGACCCCAUGAAGUCGGAGUUGCUAGUAAUCGCAGAUCAGCAUUGCUGCGGUGAAUACGUUCCCGGGCCUUGUACACACCGCCCGUCACGUCACG